CAAGUGCCUGACAAGCACAACCUGUUCGGAUUUUGGCUUCACUUCCCCUCUCCUGCUUUGGGGGGUGCUAAUGUGACUUGAUGCAAAGAGCUUUACGAUUGAUGGGGGCGGGGCCUUGGUGGGGCUGUGCUGAGGUGAAUGGAGGUGCCCCCUGUUUCUGGGAAAUCACGCUGUUUUGUUUUGUUUUGUUUUGUUUUGUUUUGUUUUGUUUGCAGAGUCUUGCAAUGGUCAUGAGAACAAAACCUGAGGCUAAGAGGCUCUUGGGGGUUGAAGCUCAGGCCCUUGGUGUGGCAAGGAGACAGCAGCACUGCAAAACGAGAAUAAGGAGAGCACCGCGUUGUCACCUGAUCCGAGUCUCCAGAGUGUCCUUCUCAAUCUCCGGUGAGUGGUGGCACAAGGCUCCGCCAGGCGGAGGGCACCCAGUGGAAAAUUCCCAGCUCCAGUCACCUGAACGAAGAGAGGCACUCUCGCCUCUCGUGUGGCUCGGAGGUUUCCAGGGAGAAACGGGAGGAGGAAAGCAAAUGCUUCAGGCCGCUGCCUCGGGCCUGGACAGUGGUGCGUGUGACCGGAGCUGGGAGGAGACGGGUGACCCACAUAGCCCUGGUCCGAAUGCAUAAGCAUCAAAAAUCGCAGAACGGAGUCGGCCCACGAGCGCCUGAGCUUUCUCCGUGGAAAACGUGCUCCUAUUUAUGAUGCUGACACAGCCAACUCGGCUGCCCCGGCUUUCACUUGUUCGUUCAACAACCGUCUCCUAAGCGUCUGCCACGUGCUGGCCGUGGACUAGCUGGGCAGAUGAGAAAACCAAGGCUCAAGGAAGCGAAGAGCUUUGCCUGAGGUCACACAAGAGCUGGCAGAGAACCUCAGAUUCAGGGCGAGCCUCCAGCCUUCACAACCAGACCCCUCCAGGGAUAAAGAGCUGCCUUUCGGCACCCAAGCGGGAAGAUAAAUGUCAGUCAAAAGUGCUUCCUGCUUCUUCCCAGAAAGAUGAAACUGGAAACUGCUUCCCCUCUCACUACUUACAAAAUGUAUGUCGUGAGCAACUGAGUUUGGGAACUCCGCUCAGGCUGGGAACUUUUCUGCUUUGUUGAAUAGCAGAGAUCGCCGCAGAAUCUACUCGGCCUUCGCUACCUUGACACUUCAUUUACAUUGGAAAUGCGGAGCACCAUCACAGUAAUUGUUCCAGGGUUGUUCCCACCGCUUGAACAUAGCCACAGAAAUCACUUGAGGCUUGAGACUGAAACCUCUCUUCAGGCCUGAGGUUACAAGGAGUUCUAAUUUUCAAUAAAUAAUUAACCUCCCAAUGAUUAUAGAGAUUUGGGGAGAUGCUCUUAGGCGCUCAAUCAGUGCCCGCCGACUUAAUGGAUGGCAUUAGCUUUUACUUCCCAAAGAGGAAUCUACUAUGGCAGGAAUAUCGCUUACUAAUUGAUCUUAGUUUCCUUUCGUGAGCAGGAGUUCUACUGCCUUGGUCGGAAGCACCCUAACUUUCCGUAAUUCUCAACAGAGGGCUCAAUGUCCAGUGGGAACUUCACAGUAUUUGCCGACAGGUCUUAGAUUGGGCCUCAGGUGAGCUGAGCUGGACUUCAAUGAUCUCCUCUGUGUAACCUUGGGCAAGACCUUGUACCUCCUUGGGGUCUCUGUAGCCUCACCUGAAAAUAAAAGCCUUCGUCAAACGGAUGGGUACCAGGAAGUCGUGAAACAUCCUGGAAUCGUACCCCAAAUGUGGCGAGGUGCGUUUUUCUGGAGCAAGCGUUCAAGCACUCUCAUCUGAUCACUAAAGAGAUCUGCGGCCCCAGUGAGGUUGAGACCAAGAGAUCCAGAGGACCACUAAGAUUCUUUCCGGUUAAAACGUCUGUGAUGUCGAGUGACCUCUGGGUCGUGUUGCAUCUUGCUCUUUGGCCCAUUCCUUCUCUGCCCCUUCACAGCCAGCUGCCUUGGGUCGUCCACAGAGGCGCUGAGGCGGAGAAAUGGAACAGAGCCGGGGAUCACGAUGACGGAGUGUAAUCAGAGGCCACAUUGGGGGGGGGGGUGUGAAACGGUCGGAUCUUCAUGCUCAGUUUCAGGGCACAAUCCAGAACUAAGCCACCACUGUUACAGAGGCUUAGUCAGGCCCCAGAGGAAAACACCAUGAGUAACUACUAUUCAUUUGGGUUUCCC